rnacentral:rRNA from 1 species
UACGGAGGGUGCGAGCGUUAUUCGGAAUUACUGGGCGUAAAGGGCGCGUAGGCUGUUGAGUAAGUCUGGUGUGAAAUCCCGUGGCUUAACCACGGAAGAGCAUUGGAUACUGCUUGACUAGAGUAUCGGAGAGGAGAACGGAAUUCCUGGUGUAGAGGUAAAAUUCGUAGAUAUCAGGAGGAACAACGGAGGCGAAGGCGGUUCUCUGGACGAUGACUGACGCUGAGGCGCGAAAGUGUGGGGAG